GACGUAGGGCGCGAGCGUUGUCCGGAUUUAUUGGGCGUAAAGAGCCCGUAGGCGGCUUGUCGCAUCGAAUGUGAAAACUCGGGGCUCAACUCCGAGCUUGCAUUCGAUACGGGCAGGCUAGAGUUCGGUAGGGGAGACUGGAAUUCCUGGUGUAGCGGUGAAAUGCGCAGAUAUCAGGAGGAACACCGGUGGCGAAGGCGGGUCUCUGGGCCGAUACUGACGUGAGGAGCGAAAGCGUGGGGAGCGAACAGG
rnacentral:rRNA from 1 species